rnacentral:rRNA from 1 species
CUCGAGGCCAGAUCUUUCCGGUUGAUCCUGCCGGACCUGACUGCUAUCGGAUUGAUACUAAGCCAUGCGAGUCAUUGUAGCAAUACAAGGCAGACGGCUCAGUAACGCGUAGUCAACCUACCCUAUGGACGGGAAUAAACUCGGGAAACUGAGUAUAAUGCCCGAUAGAACAUUAUGCCUGGAAUGGUUUAUGUUCCAAAUGAUCCAUCGCCGUAGGAUGGGACUGCGGCCUAUCAGUUUGUUGGUGAGGUAAUGGCCCACCAAGACUAUUACAGGUACGGGCUCUGAGAGGAGUGGCCCGGAGAUGGGUACUGAGACACGGACCCAGGCCCUAUGGGGCGCAGCAGGCGAGAAAACUUUGCAAUGUGCGAAAGCACGACAAGGUUAAUCCGAGUGGUUUCUGCUAAAGGAACCUUUUGCCAGUCCUAGAAACACUGGUGAAUAAGGGGUGGGCAAGUUCUGGUGUCAGCCGCCGCGGUAAAACCAGCACCUCAAGUGGUCAGGAUGAUUGUUGGGCCUAAAGCAUCCGUAGCCGGCUCUGUAAGUUUUCGGUUAAA